UACAAUGUAAUAAUCUGAAAACUCAUAUCUAGCUGCACAAAGGACACAGACAAUACAAUGAAUGACCUAAAUUACUCUUUACUCCUGAAGGAGGCACUGAUGCUAUCUUACAGUAAAACUGAAGGGGCUUUAGCAGAACUGUCACUCUUGCCUGAGUGUGUUUAGAGUCAAGGAGGGACAACAAACAGAUGCUUGCCUUGCAAAAACAAGUUAACAAUGAAAUAUCUCUGUGUUACAAUGAUUUUGUUCAUGUUUAUAGAUGACACCCAAGAGGAUAUCAUAGCAUCUCUAGAUUCUACUAAGAAUGUUCUGGAGGAUGCCAGUGCCACAUUCUCCUGCAAGUACACAAGUGCAGAUAUUAACUCUGUACACUGGUACCGUCUGUGUCCUGGGGCUACACCUGAAUUUAUCCUAUUCAUAACGGAGUACAACACCACGGGAGGAACCCCACCAAGAAUGUCGUCUCACAUCAACCAGGACACCAAGCAUGUGGUUCUGGAGAUCUCCUCCACUCAAGUCUUAGACUCUGCUGUCUACUACUGUGCUGUGCAGCCCACAAUGACAGGAAACAUACAGACACUGUACAAAAACCACAUCAGUACAUGAUGCUAUGUAUUAUGAUGUUUACCC